GGAAACAGCCUCUCUGCCCUUUCGGGGUAGGAAUAAGGCCUGUCUACAUAUUACCCUCCCCAGACCCCACUUUGUGGGACUAUACUGGAUAGUUGUUGUUGUUCUAAAGCUUAUUAGGGUUCUAUCGGAUAUGCUUUCUUGUGUAGGAAUAUGUUGUUGAGGAUGUUGGCGAGGUGGCUAGUAAUGAUUGGUCACCGCCGCCAUUGCCACAGGAGCAUGUUCAGCACCUGGAAUCACUUGAACUUCUAUAAACUUGAAGGAGUUGACAAAGGAAAACAACAGAGGAAUUACAGUCCAUAUUCACCAAUACAGAAAUUUCUUUGAACUCGAUAUUUUUCACUUAUGUGCAUAGUUUACGAAUGAUCACGUGUAAUUGUUGAAGAAAUUGAUCAUUGAUAAAUUAAGUGAAGCAACAUGAUGCAUCUCACAACUAUAGGUUGCUUCAAGAACUCUCUUAUAAUUCCUUUUGACUCAAAAUGUUUUGAGGUGCCUUUCCUACUAAUGUUAACCUAAUGGUUGCAAAUUGGCAGCUUAGGUCGGAUUUGGACGGGUUGAAAUGGGUUGAGCGAAAACGGGUUACCGAGAUUAUAUUACUGGAUAAAAUAUUAUGGUAUAGCCAGUUUUCACACUGGUCAAUCAAAAAUAGCCAGCGUUUAUCAAGUCAAUAAAAAAUAGCUAUUAUUUUGCUGCAACAGGGACCAGUCUCGUAUAAUAUACGGGAGUUCUGGUGCAUUUGUGUACGAAUUCCAAUAUAUUUUGUUGGACCGGUAUACUUUGCUAACUCCUGUAUAAUAUACGGGAGUUUGGAGUCAAGUAUAUUAUACUGGACUUUUAUACUUGUUGGACCUCCCAUAAAAUAUGCGGGAGUUCCAGCAUAAUUAUGCUUGAACUCCCAUAAAAUUUGUGGAGUUUCAACAUAGUUAUCCUGGAACUCCCGUAAAAUAUGCGGGAGUUCAAGCAUAUUUAUGCUGGAACUCCC
rnacentral:lncRNA from 1 species